rnacentral:rRNA from 1 species
UACGGGUGGUGCAAGUGUUAUUCCUCAUUACUAGGCGUAAAGGGUGUGUAGACUGAAAGGAUGGAUUGACUAAACCAGUACUUAUUUUUUAUCCUCUUUUCUUGAAUUAGGUAGACGAUAAUGGAACUUCAUGCAUUAGAGUUAAAAUGCGUUUUAAAACUUGAAGGAACACCAAGAGCAAAGGCAAUUAUCGAGAUUUAAUUGACGUUGAGACACGAAAGGAUGGGGAUCAAAUGGG